UCCACUCAGAUAAGUUUGAAGUAUCAAACUCAAAUACAAACACUCCAAAAGAAAAUAGAAUUCCCUGCGUAUAUCUUCUUCUCUUUCUUCUUUUUCUAUCAAUUUAUUUCUAUUCCCUUGGUGUCCAUCCAACAAUCACAGGUAAAUUACUUCCUCUCUGUCUCUCGUAAGGUUUGGACUCAUCAUCAAUAUCUUAUACCUCUACUAAUAAUAGUUCCUAACAACAUUUACCAAUUCUCUAUUAGUCUCUUUACAUAGAAUUAUUUCAUAGAGUGUUUAUUCAACUCCUGCAUACUUUGUUUUAAUGGAAGAAUUCUUGACAUCCUUUUGAUAAGGAGGUACAUGAAGGUGCAAAAAGUGUCUCGUGAGUGAAUUAUUCAGAUAAAGGACACCACAUUAGCACAUGAGGAAGCAACAUACUUUUAUCUUUUUCCGCUUACGAUUAUUCACAUACUUCAACUCGACUUUUUAUAAUCGAGUGAUUUCACUUUAUUUAUCAAUGAAUUUUGUACUAAGAUGUUAUCUCAGAAUAAUCAAAUAUGUAAUUAGUAUCUGGUUUUGUAUGAAUUUUUGGUAUAGCAUUUUUCUUUUAUUUUUGU